rnacentral:lncRNA from 1 species
AUGGCAACGUCUCCUGCGUACCUUCCGGUGCCCGUCACCAUGGACACCUCGGAACCGGACGGAUCUGGAGUGGUGAUGGAGCACGAGGCCAGAGCAGAACCAAUGGAACAACACGGUCAAUCAGAGCCCUCUGAAGAGCCCGGACCCACGCCAGGAGGCGGACCUCAGGUUCACUCACACUUUAUCAACAACGCAGGACUUGUGAACAACACGAUCCUGUUGAGCCAGAUCCGGAGCAGGAAGCGGGUCCACCGGCGGUCCCUGGAGCGAACAGGAAGCGGAGGGACAGCGGGAGGAGGGGGAGAGGGGAGAAGGGCCUCAGGGGGGAGAGGGGCCUCUGGAGAUGAAGCCCCAUCAUCGUCGGCCUCGGCCAGCGGCCCGGUUGCCGUGACGACAGAGGAGGGCACCAGCCUGCUCUACUUAUACCCAUUCAAGGCCCGUCAAACCCCGUCCCUCCCGGCUCCCCGGGAGUUUGUCCCGAAGGGCGUCCUGAAGCAUACCCAGUGUAAGGGGACAGAGAGCACCGUAUCCAUGGAGACAGCAGCCAAAAAGCGGCGGAUGGAGGUGGGGCGCCGGGUGCGGUUCUCUGAAGAGGUGGUUGCUAUAGCGCCCGUGGUGUUUGACAUCAGCAUGGGUUCGGACUCGGACUUGGACUCACCCCCGGAGGACUCUGAAACAGAGGAGGAGCCAGGGGGAGGGGCCAAAGAGGGGGAUGGGGCUCCGCCCCCCCCGCCCCCCCCCCCCCACCCAGGCCCCACUCCCGCCCCCCUCCCUGCCCGCCUGGAUACGAGCACUGAAGAGAAAGUCUGGGAAAAAAAAUAA